AAGUUACUAAAUAAACCUCUUUCUUAUAUUUUCAAAAUAUAUGCUUUAUAAUAAGCUAAGUAACUA
rnacentral:tRNA from 1 species